CAUCGUUCCCGCUGAGGCCAAGUGCCCUGGGUUGGCACUAGUCCUGCGCUGUUUUAAGCUGCAGAGUGUACGUUGUUUGAGCGCCUUUGGUAUGUGCCUGGUCCUUCCAGCUGGAUGGCAGGGGCCAGGUCAUGGCCUCACUGCCCAGGAGCAGGAUGGUGUAGGCGGGCCCACGCUUGAGUCUCAAGAACAACCAGACUGAAGUUCCUACCGCCCAGAGGGAAGAAGGCCUGUGGCUGACAAGCCUCCGCUCAAGGGCCGUACGAAACAACCCUGGCCCACCGACAUCGUAUCCUGACCCCUGUUCUUGGUUACUACACUAUUCGGCCUCCCAGAAGCAAGCCCAGAUCACCGAUGUCCACACCCAACUACACACAUGUCGCCGACCGUUUAAAUAAGACAAAUAACAAUAUUCAAAAGGGCCAUCUCUUCAUUUAUCCUACUAGCCAAAAUAGCGAGCAAAGACAAGGAAGACAGUCCCAGUAGCACCGCUGACAGUGACAGGAGGCUAAGUGUAAUCCAAGGAGACCACAGGCAGACGCAAGAUGGAUGCCGCGGUGUACUGCUGUAUCACACGGCCAUUACAAACGGGCGCGGCCGGCAGGCAUGGAGGUUACGCGCUGGAUCCCACAUACCUGGUGGCACAGUUCUAGCUCCGGACCCAGCAGCCUGACAAUCACGCCAGACUGUGUGUGUGUGUGUUCUGCCAUGACAAAUAAGGCAGCGGGGAACAUUUUGGAAUGCAAUCCAUCAUAGGAUCCAGCACCUACAACGCUCACCGCUCUCCACUCACCAGCAUCUCUCAGGCAAGAACAGAGGAAGACAAUGAGCUGUUUGGCCGGGGAGCAGCAUGGCUGGGAGUGACGGGUCCUACCUGCCUGAUGGAAGAACAAGGUCCAGGUGCAGGGCCUCUGGAGAGAAGAGGGACCUCCAGCUGCUGAGUCUGAGGGUCGUGCCCCUCCUCCUUGAUCCCCCAAUCCCUGGAUCCCCCAGCUCCUCUCCAGAGCGGGAGAGCAUGGGGGAGAGGAGGCAGAGCUGGCACAUCUAGUGAACAGGACACUGCUCCUGCCAGGGAGACUUCCAAGAACUGCACUCUUGAGUAAGGAGGAAAGUUCCCCUGCAACCAGGAAAAGGCUGCAGGGCGUGGCCUGAGUAGGGGCAGGAUUAGAAUGUUGUUGGGGCCACUUCACUGUUCAGCUCUUCCAUCACUGGUACAGACCAUUACAUGACCCACUAUGG